UUUUCGCCGCGAUGGAGAGUUUGAUUUUGAUUUUGUCCUCAAUAGCUAGUUAUUUAAACAAAAUGAAAGCCAUGCGGUAGCUUUAAUUGUCUGCAAUUGGAUACUGAUUACAAUGUAGUCCAAGAAUAUUUGAAGAAUUCACCCGGCCGGUCUUGUGCUGGCUUGUCCCACGUGUUGCUGGAGCAAUAUGUAAGUGGCGCCGCACCUACUGUACUCUUGCACCAGAAAUCGAAAGGCCUGUAUUCCUAGCCAUGAGCAAAGGUGGCAAAGCGUGGAGAAAAUGUAAGAAUCGGAAAGGAUUCGAAUGAUUCCUUUUACAUUAACGAAUUGGGGGAAAAAGCCGGCCACAAAUUUAUGGCUUCGUGAAGCAGCAAUGGAGGUGUGGCGAUUGCCUGAUAAAACUAGAAAACUCGACAGUCCCUUCGCUUUGAUGUCAUUCUCUUGACAUUCUACAGAGAAAUUACUCUUUGUUGGCAAGUAGCUGAGUAAGACCACGACGUUUGUGAUUUAAGAUAAGGAAUAUGCCGAGGCUCUGAUACACUCUUACCGAAAUGGUCAUGCUGAAUGCAAAGUCGUGAAGUUACAUGAAGUCCCAUGCUUUGUACACUGAGAAAACCAAUUUAUAAGACGCACACAUUUUGAGAGUCUUGAAGUCACUUACUUUGUACACUGAGGAAACCAGUUUAUAAGGCGAAUGCAUUUUGAGAUUAAUCAGUGGAUGAUGACUGAUGGCGGUGUGCCUUUUAUGUGAGCAAGUGGCAGUGAAAUGAUUCUGAAGAAGAUCAAAUGACUAACAAUUGCCACAAUGUUUCCAUGAAUGUUAUCUCCAAUUGAUAAAUAAAAACAAAACUUGUACUUGUAAUAUAACGUGA